UUUUUUCGCUCAGCAUCGACAGAUUCAGGAAAUGCUAGCGGCUACUCUUGGCUCACAAUUUAAUUUGCCACCUCUUCCUUCGCCUCCUCCUCCACCGCCGAAUUUUGUACCAUUUGUGCGUGUACCGUCUCCACAAGUGGGUUCGACGAGUACUCAUCCUCGAGGAGUUUCCGCCAGCCCGUCCACGCCAGCAUCGGCACCGCGUAACAUUUCUGGAGGUGACUGCGGCAGCGGACAUAACAUUACCCCUCCUCCUUGAUUUGUGUUUUCGCGUUGUAGGCUCUUGCACUUGCCAUGUAGGACUAGCAGGGGAGCGUGUCGAAAGUACUUCGGUGGAUAACUUGCUUUGGAUAUGUUAUGCUUUGGAUAUGUUUGUUAUGUAUGUUAAGUAGGCCUAGCAGGGGACCGUGUCGAAAGUCCUUCGGUGGAGAACUUGCUUUGGAUAUGUUAUGCUUAUG